GGCGGAGGCCUAACACAUGCAAGUCGAGCGGCAGCACAAGUGAGUUUACUCAUGAGGUGGCGAGCGGCGGACGGGUGAGUAAUGCCUAGGGAUCUGCCCAGUCGAGGGGGAUAACAGUUGGAAACGACUGCUAAUACCGCAUACGCCCUACGGGGGAAAGGAGGGGACCUUUUGGCCUUCCGCGAUUGGAUGAACCUAGGUGGGAUUAGCUAGUUGGUGAGGUAAUGGCUCACCAAGGCGACGAUCCCUAGCUGUUCUGAGAGGAUGAUCAGCCACACUGGGACUGAGACACGGCCCAGACUCCUACGGGAGGCAGCAGUGGGGAAUAUUGCACAAUGGGGGAAACCCUGAUGCAGCCAUGCCGCGUGUGUGAAGAAGGCCUUCGGGUUGUAAAGCACUUUCAGUAGGGAGGAAAGGUUGUAAGUUAAUACCUUGCAGCUGUGACGUUACCUACAGAAGAAGGACCGGCUAACUCCGUGCCAGCAGCCGCGGUAAUACGGAGGGUCCAAGCGUUAAUCGGAAUUACUGGGCGUAAAGCGUGCGCAGGCGGUUUGUUAAGCGAGAUGUGAAAGCCCCGGGCUCAACCUGGGAAUUGCAUUUCGAACUGGCAAACUAGAGUCUUGUAGAGGGGGUAGAAUUCCAGGUGUAGCGGUGAAAUGCGUAGAGAUCUGGAGGAAUACCGUGGCGAAGGCGGCCCUGGCAAGACUGACCUAAGCCCAAACGUGGGAGCAACAGAUAAUCCA
rnacentral:rRNA from 1 species